UGGGGAAUCUUGGACAAUGGGCGCAAGCCUGAUCCAGCAAUGCCGCGUGGGUGAAGACGGCCUGCGGGUUGUAAAGCCCUUUUAGCGGGGAAGAAAGCCCUGGGUUGAACAGACCUGGGGGGUGACGUUACCUGCGGAAGAAGCACCGGCCAACUCCGUGCCAGCAGCCGCGGUAAUACGGAGGGUGCGAGCGUUAAUCGGAAUUACUGGGCGUAAAGCGCACGUAGGCGGUCAGUCAAGUCCGUUGUGAAAGCCCUGGGCUCAACCUGGGAACGGCAAGGGAGACUGACUGACUGGAGUGUAACAGAGGACCGUGGAAUUCCCGGUGUAGCGGUGAAAUGCGUAGAGAUCGGGAAGAACACCGAUGGCGAAGGCAGCGGUCUGGGUUAACACUGACGCUGAGGAGCGAAAGCGUGGGGAGCAAACAGG
rnacentral:rRNA from 1 species